rnacentral:rRNA from 1 species
AGGACGAACGCUGGCGGCGUGCUUAACACAUGCAAGUCGAGCGGAAAGGCCCUUCGGGGUACUCGAGCGGCGAACGGGUGAGUAACACGUGAGUAAUCUGCCCCUAGCUCUGGGAUAGCUCCGGGAAACCGGGAUUAAUACCGGAUACGACCACCUUAGACAUCUUUUGUGGUGGAAAGAAUUUCGGCUAGGGAUGAGCUCGCGGCCUAUCAGCUUGUUGGUGGGGUAACGGCCUACCAAGGCGACGACGGGUAGCCGGCCUGAGAGGGCGACCGGCCACACUGGGACUGAGACACGGCCCAGACUCCUACGGGAGGCAGCAGUGGGGAAUAUUGCGCAAUGGGCGAAAGCCUGACGCAGCGACGCCGCGUGGGGGAUGGAAGGCCUUCGGGUUGUAAACCCCUUUCAGCAGGGACGAAGCGAAAGUGACGGUACCUGCAGAAGAAGCGCCGGCUAACUACGUGCCAGCAGCCGC